rnacentral:rRNA from 1 species
UAGGGAAUUUUCGGCAAUGGACGAAAGUCUGACCGAGCAACGCCGCGUGAGUGAAGAAGGUUUUCGGAUCGUAAAACUCUGUUGUUAGAGAAGAACAAGGACGUUAGUAACUGAACGUCCCCUGACGGUAUCUAACCAGAAAGCCACGGCUAACUACGUGCCAGCAGCCGCGGUAAUACGUAGGUGGCAAGCGUUGUCCGGCUUUAUUGGGCGCAAAGCGAGCGCAGGCGGUGUCUUAAGUCUGAUGUGAAAGCACCCGGCUCAACCGGAGAAGGGAAGUGGAAACUGGGAGACUAGAGUGCAGAAGAGGAGAGUGGAAUUCCAUGUGUAGCGGUGAAAUGCGUAGAUAUAUGGAGGAACACCGGUGGCGAAGGCGGAUCACUGGUCUGUAACUGACACUGAGGGUCGAAAGCGUGGGGAGCGAACAGG